UACGUAGGUGGCAAGCGUUGUCCGGAAUUAUUGGGCGUAAGCGCGCGCAGGCGGUCCUUUAAGUCUGAUGUGAAAGCCCACGGCUCAACCGUGGAGGUCAUUGGAAACUGGGGGACUUGAGUACAGAAGAGGAAAGCGGAAUUCCACGUGUAGCGGUGAAUGCGUAGAGAUGUGGAGGAACACCAGUGGCGAAGGCGGCUUCCUGGUCCAGCACCGACGUUCAGGCACGAAAGCGUGGGGAGCAACAGG
rnacentral:rRNA from 1 species